AUGGCCUGUCAAAGAAUGUUUGUUUUGAAUCCUUACGAUCGUCGUGCUCUACCUGAGUUCUGGAGAAGGGAGGAAUGGAUUGAUGAGGAGAGUUUUCUUCUUUUAGAUGAGGCUACCAUCAGCCAGUUGAUCCCAAGAGCUGGCCCAAGGCUUAAGUGCCUCAAAAAUGUUAAAGGACUUGUUGAACCUGCUGUUACACCUACAAGCUCUGAUGUCACACCAACUGCCACUCCUCCAACCCCCAUGGAGGAAGAAGCAGCAGUUGCGGUUGUUGAGAGCCUUGAUGAGGAUAAUGUCAUCACAACUUGCCAGAGACGUCUCCUCACCCGUAUCCUGGUGUCUCACCUCAUUGAGAAGUUUGGAGAGAAUCCUGCAAAAAGAGACCAAAAAGGCCAUGGCAUCCAGUUUGAUUCAGUCAUUUCCCAGUUUAAGAGACGGAGUUUUUUGAAAAAGGUCAAACCCUGUUCUAACCGUUGCACACGCUAUCAAGAUCAAAAUGGAUUUGUAUGCAUGCAUGCUCGCACGCAUGAUUUCUCAAUCCUUUAUGACAAUAAACUGAGUGUCUCUUUGGCGUGUGGAUAA
ensembl:lncRNA